GCAGCAGUGCCCGAUGUGCACACAGUCCAGUGGAGAGCAGCAGGAUCCAAUCGGAGCCUCGGGGUUGCGCAAUCCCGCGCACGCACAAAGAUGGCACGUCGUGACUCCUGAUAGCCUGCACUCCCUGCUCACCAGGUAGUGGGCUCUUAAGCCUUCUGAAACAAACACGAUCCAGAAGGCUGUUCAUCUCCAUUUUGUGUUUCUGUCCAACAAGAAGAGAAACAGGAAAAGUUUUGGAUUGAAUUCAAGGCUCCAGGAAACCCAAGUCUCUUGCACUGGUGAAUUUCAAAGGGGUUCAGCAUAACUCAGCUGGGCUGCACAGAAGGAAACCUGCAAGUCCCAUGCUUUUUCAAUGGUAUUCCAAACACCGCAUUUCUUGACUCAGAGACUUCAAACUAUCAGAGAUUCAGUUCCCAGGAAGUCAGUCCAGUUUUAUCCCACACAAGUGAAGGUGGAUCAGAUCAAGAAAGGAUAUUGACUGCACGUGAAAAAAGCGAGAGAAGCCUUUCACCGCAUCAGGAAUGGUUUGGGUUGCAUGUAGCCACAUUGGAGCUAUACAAGAGUCACUUCAGCCUGUUCUCAAGGUUCUGUGGUGUACUUCAACUUUGCUGAAACUGCUGCAGAUUGAAGGGAAGAAAUGGUGCGACGCAGCGUAUUGGAGAAACAGCUCCAGACAGAUCUCCCUUGCAUUACUGCUUCUCUUCAUUCCAGAAACUACAAAAAAUAAAACUAUUCACAAUGGAAGUGCCACAUCACUGUGUCCUGGUGGGUAUGUGGUGGGUAUGCAGAGAAUCUUCUUCCCCCUCUCAUGGGAAUGUUGGGAGAUGAAGGAGGAAAAGUGGAAGGAAUGGUUAUUAUGCUGUACAAUGGUAAUGCUGCAUCCUAAAUUCUGGCCACAAUCCCAAACCAGAUUUGCUUACAGCUCACUGUUUCUUGAAGACAUUGCAACUCUGGUUAAGGUGAGCUAAAAAAGCUGGAAAUGGCAUUGAGAGGGGCUGGGCUGAGCAGGAGGUGUUAUGGACAGACUGCUUCCUUCAUGUGUCACUACUUUCAUCUGCAAGAUCACUGACCCUAAAGAGAAGGGUUAUCCUCUACAGUGUAUUUAAAGACUUACCCUCUCAUGUAUUUAGAGAGUUUUGCAGCUAUCCCAAAUAUUGGCAAUUGGUUUUUUCAUCCUCAACACCUAAAGUCUGUCUAGCAUAUCCUUGACUGCAUUAUUUGAGGAUAGCCAUAGGUUUUUCCUAUUGCUAGCAGAAAAUGUAAUCAUCAUCAAACCACUGGUAGCUACAAACUGAAGUCUGAUUUGAAAAUCUCUCUAAACAGGAUGAAACUGCAGUAAAAAUUCCUGGCAGCUGGCAUGACAUGCAUAAGGAUGUGCAGCAAUGCUCUGUAAUCAUAAGACUUGUAAGCCUACCUCAUGUGAAACAGGAAGUAAAAGAAUGCUAUUUUGCAGACCUGCUAACUGGAUAUUAUAGCAAACUGUAGGCACUUGCCUGGCUGGCUUCUGGCUUCUAUUUCGCUCUGCCAUUUCUGAAUACUUGUUGCCCAUCCAAGGCUGAUAUUGUCAAGAAGUGGUGUUACCAAAAUCAAGAAUGAAACAUUGAAUGGCUUUAUGUCGAGAACAGAUACAGAUUUAUAUGUUCAUACAAAGAACUAGAAUGAUUUCUGAUAUCAGUAUAAUAUAUAAUAAUAACUUGCUAUAUUAAUUUAAUAAACUAUUAAUUUAUAGAAUUCCUAUCUUAGCAAUUUCCCAUUCUCUUGGGUAUUAGUACAAAAUCUGUGCUGUUUGAAUAUGUCAGUAUUUUCUAUUAGAUUGAAGGCCAGAUUUUAUCAUGACAGUAUUUUUAAACAAAAUAUUGAGCAAGUACACAGUCACAGAGAUUGCCAAAAGGUUAUUCUGUUUAGUGCCAAAACACUAAAUGAACAACUUCAAGUCAAGCAUCAUCAAAGACUAGCUUGUUCAACCAUUAUCUAAGAGAACAAGAACUACAGCAAAGAAUACAAUUUUAUAGUUGGUUUCCACCCAGAAGUGCAUGUUUAAUACUAAGCUGUGCUCUGCUGAUAGCUGACUGAAAGAAAAUGUUUCAUAUUAAGGAAGAACGAAGUAGAGAACUCUCACUUUAUUUUUUCUGAGAUUAAUUCAUUGCUUUCUACCUAUAACCACGCAGGCCCCAAAUUUGGAAUUCUUGUUCAGCCAAAAUGUCUCCUAUGAAGACCUACAAGGUUAAAUCCAUUUGUUUCUGUUAAUGACUGCUAAAAACAAAAUUGCACUUUCACCUGGAGAGGUCUCCUGGUUCGUCUAAUGUGGACAGAAGAGUAAUUUAUACUUGAAUCACAGAAUUAAUUAAAUUGGAAAAGACCUCUGAGAUCAUCGAAUCCAACCUACUUGUUUGUUCUUCCAUAUUUGUUCAAGCUGCCAGCUGGGAAGUUGCUUCUGCUAAGUUUAGAAAGUAACACCUACCCUACUGUAGGAAAAAAUUAUGUUGCAUUUCCAACAUGAUUGUUACACUGGGGAAAUCAUUGAAAGUGAUGAUUUUCACACUGUGAUGCUAUUUUGGGAUUAUGUAGGAUAGUCAGAUUUAAUGCUGUUUAAGAGGAAAACAGGAUUAGCUAGUUCAAGAUCAAAAUGAAAGAAGAGGAGGAGCACAGCAGAGAUUUCCAAGUCAAAAGUGAAUUUCCUGAAAUUGCUACACAUCUCCACUCAAUUCAGGACAGGGAUGCUGGAGUCCUUAAUGUUUCACCUGUGUCUCUUGCUUUGUGUAGCAACAAAAAGUGCAAAGGAUUGGAAAGACGGCUCUAAUCACCCAAAGAAAAACUGCCUCAAGGUGCAUCGUCCCUGCAGAUCUAUUGCUGAAGGAGAAAAAAAAAAUCAGGGUCUCAGUACAAAGUGAAUAUGUAAACCUUAGACAAAUUCUGUUUUCAUAUGAAAGCAAAGAAAAGUAUUGCUUAGAAAAAUUACUUUUUUUUUAUGAAUGGUGGGAUGAAAGUAGGUUUUUUCCAGAACUCUUUAACAUUUCUGAUUUCAUCUGCUGUUUGAUUAUCUAGAUGAAGUAAAGAAGGCAGUGUCCUGGACCAGCUAAUACUGGCUUUUUCUGCCAGGUCAGACUCUCUGGCUCCCCUGUGAAAUUCUUCCCUGAGACAUUUGCUGAUCUCAUUUAAUAUAUCUUUUGAUAACCAGACUUCCAGAGGUAUCUGAUCACUGCAGUAGUUCUUCAGCCAUCCAGGCAAAAGACAGUAAUCUUUGUAAAGCAGCUGGUGCCACUGAAGCCAUUACUGAAUUUUUACAGAGAGUGACUUAAAGGAAAUUCUGUUGCUAAUAUUUAAUUUUUUUUUAUAUUAUGUAAUAAUGUAAGACUUAAAAAUAAGAUAAAGGUAUUUAUAAUGUGCAUGAGUCCUUUGGGAAGACUGGAAAAGUCUCUUUAAAAGGAAAAAAAAAGUAAAUCAAACUAGGAUUGGAGGUAAAGUUCAGUUAAACUUGUGAGGUAAACCUCGUGGCAUAAUUAUUGGCCAGCUCAAUUUUUAAUAAAUGAGUGUAAACUGACUUUGAUAAAUGAACACAUAGCAUUAGGUUUGCAUUCAGCCUGUUCUGUAGAGAAGAAUGCUCAUUAUAUCAAUGUAUAAACAAUUUUUAAACCAGUUAUAACGCUUUAGGUAGGAUAGGAAUCCUUUAUCCCAAAAUCAGUGCACGUGAAUAUCUAGCUAUAAAAGAUUCAUAUUUCUUGCAAAUUAUGUCCCCAAAUGGGAUUUCAUUGGUCCAUUAAAUGAGGUUUCAGAACAGAGCUUGUGCUGCACUUCAGUCUCACAUUUAAACUCUCUAAAUAUUUAAGUUAAAGCAAGAAUUCUAGUUGGGUAUUGAUUCUUUGUUAUCUAUACAUGAUAAUUUAAUUUAAGCUAAUGAGAAAAAACAUCUGUUAUUUGAACACCCUUGACAGUCCUCUAUCACUGUUCUGGUACAAAUUCUCCCUAAACCCUUGAAAAUUUGACAUAAAUUUAAAUAAAUAUUUGCAUCAAAUGUCUCAUAGGAAGCCAUUGUUUGGAUUCACCUAACUGGAAAAUUUCUAUUGUGUUACCAAAAAUUAGUAGAGGUAAAUACUUGGGUGCUGUGAGUCAGCCCUCUUCUACUUACUUCCAUGUAGCUCUCUUGAUUUAAUGAGUUGGGUUCAUGAUGUAAGAGAGGAGCACACAGCUACUGGUAUUCCCUAGAAAAGAGAUGUUUAACUGGGAUUCCCUGCCCUCCACUGAGGCCACUCAGAUGUACACCUGAACAUUAACACCAAAACCAUAACUUAUAGCUUCCAAAUGCUUGAAAAGUUUGGAUCUGGAUGACAUUCUUUUCUCUUACCUCUGAUUACAAACUGGGCUUUUCCUGUUCCACAUUUGUAGCAGGCAAUAUCUGUUAUUUUACAAUACAUGGCUCAGACCUUAUGUUAGUAAAAAUUAAGUGUUGGGAAUUUAGGGAAGAUAGGCCAGUACAGGAACAAUGACCUAAGAAAAAUGAAGGUGUUGGAUGACCUGAAGCCAGUCUUGAGAAUGUGACUAUGGAAGGUGGUAUGAAGUCAUGAACAUAUAAAGAGAAGCUGAACUUCUGUCCUUAUAUGUACUUAUAAGUGCAAAAAGUAGAACGCAUGGAAGCAGGAUAUAGUACAUUAUACACAGAGUGCAACUUUUUGAGUAAAUAUUAGCAAAGAAUUACUGCAGAUAUUCAUCCAGGUCAAGGAACGUGGAUACGUGUAUGAAAUCAGCUGAUCUGCUCAGCCACUGCUCACCUGUUCUCUUGGAGGCAUUCCAUGGGCUGGAAGGACCAAGUGCCAGACUGAAAUGCCAAAACACCCUGCCACAGCCCGUUCUGCUGGGCUCACAGCAUUGCACAAGGCAAUCAUAAAAGGAGAACUUCAUGUGCAAGACGGAAAUCUCCUGCAGGAAAAAUGUCUGCCCCCUCUAACAUUUACCUUCAAGAUGUUACAGUUAAGGCUGGGACUAGGCCAAGGAGGGAUAUUAACUGUGUUUUAAACUAUACUCUCUACCUCUACCCUAUAGUUAUUUGUGUUCAGUCAGUCACCCACAGCUAAUGUUUCUCCUUCUUUUAUCUUUGUUAUGACAGACCUGAGCUAACCAAGACGUACCAUUUGUAGGAACAACUCUUUAGGGCAUGAGGAGGUCCAUGAGAACCUCCUUCAAGGUGCAGCCACUGUGUGGUGGAGCUGAUGGCAGAGGCUUUCAGUCAGUGCUUACAGUGACAGACACUAUAUAUUGCUACUUCAGCAGCCAUGGCAACAGAAAGCAGUGUACAGAGCAGAGAAUGGUCUUGACAAUGACCCUUUUACAGUUUUUCCAACAAUGCUCCUUAGAGGAGUGCCACACAGAUCACCAGGAAGGAAGAAGUGACUUGGUUGGAAGGAGCAAGAAUAAAGAGAAGAACAUGGUAGUAAUGAAAAAGGCUGGAAACCAGCUGGUUUUAUAUUGGGGUGGGAAACAAGAUUUUCACCAGUGACCAGCCAGCUCUGAUAAUACCUUUUGAUGGUAAAGACUAAUUAUGAGAAUGGCUCAUAAAGAAAUAGCUCAUCUCCCCCCGUACACAGAGAUAAAAUCCAAGGUCACCUUUAAGUGUAUGGGACCCUUGUUCUUCUCAGUGGGUUUCUGAAAUAUUCUAUCAGUUCUAGGAUGAAAUAAGGAUCCCUGUUCUAUGUCAGCUUGGGGCUUUAUUUUGCCAUUAGUCCUGUGUCUAUUCAGAUGGGUGAUGGAUCAUAUGUAGAUCUCUGGGAAGAGGUUGAGAUGAUUUACUCCUUUGGAAUCUGCAGCAGUCCCCAAGUAAUGCUCCCAGGAACAAAAAGGUGCUAGACAUUAACAGAUAUAAUACUCUCCAAUUUAAUUAUGUCCAAAGUCCCUCUGAUUUCAUAGUUGCACUUCCCAGAGUUAGAGUCUCAUAGCCAGCAGCUCCUCCUAAAAUUCAGAUCCAAAGCCCAAAGCUAUUGGAUAAAGCAGUUUUACCUCUCCAAGGAUGCUGAACUAUGUUGUAUUCCUGUGUUUGCUGUGCAGAGUAGCAGAAGAAACAUGUCAGCCCAUUACCUGACAGAGCAUCCAGUGACAGCUUCCUGCUGUCCUGGAGGUUGUGGAGCUCACCCAUAACAGCUCCCCAUCUGGGCAAACCUUGGAUUUUGUGUGUAAGCCCAGGGAAGGGGGAAAGCUGCAUCACUUUCCUAGUAAUGAAAAGAAAGAAAAGAGAAAAAAAAAAUCUUGAAGCAUGUAGGCCCUUCACUGAGUAAAUGUUUUUGUUAAUGCACUAAAAUAUCUCUAAAAAGAUAGAAGUUUUGCUGCCUCACAGACAUUGUUGUUUCAACUGAUUUUAGUGGAUAAAUUGACUGCUUGGCCAUUUACAUCUUAGAAUUGCAGCCAAAACCAGAAGAGAUAUGAAAGCAGAGCAGCAUGGACACGUCAUAGAUAAUUACAAUGGGAUGAGGUAUAGAGGAAAAAAGUGUCAACUAAUUCUCAGAAACUGGUAAACCAUUUUUAACAUCUAAUAAAACAAAAGCAAACUCAUUACUCUUCCCUCUGACACACUAACGUGUGAACUUAUAUUCUCUAUCUGGCCAAUAAAAAUAUUACCAGUGUGUGGAAAAUUAAAGUGUAGUACUUCCCUUUAAAGAAAGCAUAGAAACAAUAUUGAAAAAGCAGAAUACACAUAUAUGAAACCCAUAAAUGUUACAAUAAAGGGCUUGAGAUAGGUAUAGGUAUAUGUAUAUCAGAAAAAAUCAAACAAGAAGCUCUUAAAAAAGGGUACUUAUAAGAAGGAGGAGGAAAAAAUUGUCUGGCAUUAACUGAGAAAAUAUCAAGCAGAAAGUUGCUGAGUUUAAAAUAAAAUAGAAAGAGAAAUAAAUAUUUUUUAAAAGAAAAUGCACACUGAGGAAGAAAAAAGGGUAAAAAGAGCAGUAAUAUAGUUUGAUUUGAAAUAAAUUCUUUUGGGAACAAGUCUAAUGGAGGUGGUUUGUGAAAGACUAUUUUCAUGCAAACAGGAAGUGAAAAAAUACUAAAAGCAAAUAUAUAAAAUAAUGUUCAGGAGUAAAGAUGAUAGUUACAGUUAUGAUUCUUUUUCCUUUACAGUUAUGAUUCUUUUUCCUUUACAGGCUUUCAAAAUCCCUCAUUCCUCCAACCCUUUGACCUGACUAAUUUUGAAGUCCAUAGCUGUUUGAGUCAGGAAACCUCACAAUUCUCUGUCUGAGCUGAACCCUGAACCACAAACCUCAAAGGAACCUGAACUCUCCCAGUGACUGGAACAUCCUGAUGUCAUGAUUCAACACAGUCUUGGCUUCCAUGACAGCUUAAUAAGGAAAAGAAGAAGAAAAAAAGAAAGCUGAGAAGGCACUGGUUUUCAGGCAAGAGUACAACAAUGAUGAGUUACGUACCUAAGAGUGGAAGAAAAUCAAAGCCAAAGGCUUGACAAAAGUCACACAAGAAUUCCUGCAUGAAUCCUGGAAUUAUCACAAAGAUCUCCAAGAUAAGAAAUCCAGUUCUGACUGGCAGCUAUUCUUAAGGGCAAUGUGACAAUGAUUAAAAGAUCAGCUGCAGUGAAGAUCCUGUACUUGCUGCAGUGAAGAGGCACAGCCUUUAGUUCCCCAGGAAGCUGGACUUUGAUGACAUCCCAGAAGGAAUGGCCAGACCUGUGCAGGUCACACAAGGCACAAGGGAUCCCAUCACAACCUUUCCAUUCUUCCUACUCCGGCCUCCUCACAUUGCCUGAUCCACACCUCUCUAUGGAAGAAGACACCUGUUUAGACAGAAGAAAUUCUUCAAGUUUCCACAAGUCCCACAAGAUGUGAGCCAGUGUACAGCCAGCAGGUUCCUGCCUUAGCUGCAGCUGUUCCACAGCAAUUUCUAUCUGCUGGCACCUGGGCUGGGGAACAUACAAAGUACCAAGUACAAAACAGGUGGGGGAUGAAUCUCCAUGCAUGUUGUGAAAUUGGUAGCCUGAUGUAAUUUGGUGAGGGAUAGAGAUGGCCUACAGGACUCCCAGAACGUCAGCACCCCAGGUGGUGCUUGUACUGCUUACACCUGGAGAUGCCAGAAAUUAAUCCAUGGCCUGCAAGAAGGUCCUUGGAAAAUAUUAACAGUUUGCAGCUGCCCCUUCCUUCCUUUCCUCUCCACUAAACACUCUGGUCUCAUGCAAACAAGGCUGCUGGGAUGCAGGAAUCAUUCUUGGAGUGCUCCCAACUGGUCAGGGAAAGGAGAUCAGGCUUUUGCAAUCAUUCAGGGUACACUCUCCUCCCCUUCUUCCCACCAUGUAGAUUUUUGUGCUAUUUAAAGAGGAAAUGUGUUGACAAGUCUAAGCAAAAACUGACUGGGAUAGCUGUAAAUCCAGAGCACCCAUUGGGCUGGAGACCUCGCAGAGCAGAUGGUGAUGCCGGGGGUGUUGAUGAAAAAGCAGUGGUGGAGCUCCUUCACUCCUUCUGGGAGAGAGGACAUGCCAAGAACAUGUAAUUGAGGGACAAAGGAUAAAGCUAGUGAUAAUAUCUCCAUCUGCCUAGGAAGUUUUGAGGUAAAAGUGUAGUGUAGUGCCCAAAUGCAUCAGGCUGGGCACCACCUAGUUGUCUGACAGGUGCACUCAUUGCAAGCACUGGACUGAUUUUUUUUUUUUUUUCCCCUUACUUGCAGCAAGUUUAAAAAAUUAACCACAUGCAGUAGAACGGAAAAAAUGCCAACACUUGCUUUAAAAGGCUGUAGGAAAUGGAAUAAAGGGGGUUUCCCCUUGGCACACGUGUUAGGAGCAUUAUGUAACCUUGUUUUGUAAGAAGCACACUGAUCUCCUGGCACUGAAAAAGACCCGCAUAUGUUGACUGCAAAAAUGAGGAGUCAGGAAAGUAUUAUACAGGAAUGAGUCUUGCCAAAGAAAGCAAAGUGCAAACAUCCCACACUUCCCAAAUUAUCUUUCUUUCCUGCUUAAUGCACUGUAAAUGAAAUUCAGUUGGACUUUGACAUUAUGGACUGGAUUCAAUCCCAUUUAUACUGUGCAUAGAUAGGAACUGACGAUAAAAUGAUAUUGUUUGAACAAAUAGCUUACUUCCCUUGCAAUAGUUCUUACAAUUGUUAACAUAUUAAUAAUUAUUAUAAUGUGUGGCAUUUAUAAUAGAGCCUUUCUUCACCAAGAAUCCUAAUGCUCUUAUGAAAUAAAAGGAUUGUACUGUGUGUACAGUAUCUUAACUGAAAAUAUAUCCGACAUCACAGCUCUGCCUGUAAGUCUUGCUUUAAAACAUAAGGAGAUUAACUUUCCUACCAAUCUAUUGCAUUUUCAGUGCCUUUUUACUGUUAAAUAUGGCUCUGCUUAUUCCUCCAGAUGCUUUCCACCAAAAUGAAUAUGUGAGAAAUCUGCAGCAUUAGGCAACCCUCCUAGGGGAACUCUACAUUUGUUUUCACUGCUGCAGGCAGUCUGGGUAAUUUUGAUUCCCCUUGAUUUUCAAGAUAAUAAUUUAAAAAACAGUGGUGAAAAAGAGACUCCUUACUGAACUAAAUUAGUAUUUCAGUUGGUCUGUUCAGCUAUUACUGCUGACAAUCUGGGUGUGCAGAAAAUAUGAAGUAAGUCCUCAUUGCCCAGUCUUGAGUGAAGCAGGAAGGUGCAUGCUGGUUUUUAGCAUGUCAAGACACAUAUGUGAGGUCAACCCCGAGAAAAACACUCUUAAAAGCAGACACUGCUGCCAAGUAUUAUUAGACUAUACAUCCUGGAAACUUAGGCCAGAUAUCUCAAUUAAAAAAAAAAAAUUAAACAAAAAAUCCCUACAUCUUCAUUUAGAUGAACUAAUGAAAGUCCUUUUAAUUCUUGAAUCAAUAAACUAGACAGCCUUGCAAGGCUCAUAUCAAUACAAACUUAAUGUGAAUGACUCCCCUCUGCUGAAGCUUCAAACAGGUGUUUUGGAGGAAUUUGUUGGAUACUGGGCAGUGAAAUGCUUUCCACCAUGUAUGGCCUAAAGUCAUCGUAAAUAGAGUGUGUCCCUUCAUUGCCUCAGUUUUUCUGAGUGACAGGAAUAAGAACACAUGAUCAGUAUUACCCUGAGAAUACUGAGAAAUUAUUAAUCUUUUUCUCUCUUAGGAUCUCUGACUCUAUUAUUAUCAUUAUUACUACUACUACUAUUAUUAUUGUAUUUACCCAAUGUAGAUAAUAGAAGUAGUCAAUAUUGGCUGCUCACAGGCCCAGUGUCAAGAUUUAAUCAAUUUCUACUCUUACUGGUGUAGAUUUUUUUUCUGAUCUAAGAGUUAAUUUGUUAGUUGUACCUAUUGACCCUUUUAAUCAUAUGUAAAAAACAGAAAACGUGAAAAAGAGGAAGAGUGUCAACCACCCAUGCUGAAAAAAAUGCCAGAGGAAGAAGUCAAACUGCAUUUCUAAAAAAACCCAGAAGUCUGGAAACUGUUUUUCCAGUAAAAAUAAAACAAACAAAACCAAACCCUAACCUCAUAUUGGCCAAGAAUGGAAAAUGACCAUUCCUUAGGUAAAUGUUUGAAUAGUUAAAAGAAUGAGGGAAAGAUGGUGACAGCUAAAAUGUUUUGUGCAUGUGUGAUAUAACAAGCUUUCUUUACAAGACAGGUGUAAUAACAGUGCAAAGUGUAGGAAUGCCCUGCCCUGUGAGUCAACAGGCUGACAAAAUGGCAUUUAUUUUCCAGUUUAGAACAAGAAGCAGCAAAUGGCUCCAGGAGAUGGAACUACAGGGCUAGCAUGGGUAAACAAACUGGAAGUAUGCAUGCUGGAAUAGAUUCAGGAUGCCAGGGUGUUAGCACUUUGAGCUCCCUGAAAAACACCAUAAAUACAGUAUUGACCACAAAUGAGGCAGAAUUUUAAAUGUUGCCCAUGCUUGCAAAUUACUCACAGACCUACACAGACCCAACAGCAGCAGCAAACAUUGUUUCAACCAUUAUCAGCUCCUGUGGGUUAUCAGAAAGGAUGUGGGUUUGUGAUUGAUGCUCUGUAGGGCCAAUAGCACACCCCUAGUCUUCCAACCCUUCCUGCCUCUUUUGAACAUCUCAUUCUGGGACUUACACCCUGUCUGACCCAGUACUUUGCAGAUGAAGGCAAAUGUGAAAAUAAAGCUUCCUGAAGCUAUAAAAAGUGUCUUAUUCUGGAUUGGUUUUGUAUACAGACCUCUCACUUCCCAGAUAAGAACAGUAUCCUAGAAAGCCAAACAAUGAGAAGCAGCACAGUUUAAAUUCAUACACACACCCUUAAUACAAAUUCACUUCCAUAAGAAGAUAAGCUUUCUGUAAGUUCACUAAUCAACCAGUAUAAGUGGAGAAAGCAGAAUGGGAGGUGUGGUUUCACAACUUAAUUUUCCAGGAUUUACAUUUAAUUUAAGUCAAAAGUAGAACAAAAUAAUUACUCCCAUGCUAGUUUACAUCAGAAACAUUUCUUUUUUAACUGGCCAAUAUUUGCUCGUAAGCUCAGUCAAAAAAAUAAACUAAGAACCGAGGCAUAAAAUAGUUGCAAAAUGAUCAUAUACUUGAACCACUCUGGACACUGGGUGAUGUGCAAUACAUUUCAUAUGCUCAGAGCUAAACCCUGCAGCAACUGCUGUAACUCUUGCCGCUGCAGAAACUCGCUCUUGGUGAGUUAUCAAAAGAAGCUAAAUUCUCUAAAGAUUCCACAGAAUCUUUAGUAGCAUCAGGAGGAAAAAACAUAACUGCAGCUAGUUUUAGCCUAUUUCUUAGAAAUUGUGUUGCACAGGAGCAUUUCUGGUUUAUGAACAGGAGUUACAAUUUAAGAAGGAGGAGAUGGGUCCAUUGUCUUUGCAACUAAGUUGCUUCUUUAAUUCUGGGUCAUUUUUGCAGGAAAACAGUCCUUGUCUAGUUGAGCUGGGUUUGUCUCAUUACUGCUUUGUUAUCAGCUCCAGUGAAGACACUGAAAGCCUUUGGCAUCCCUACCUUCUUGCAGUGCUGCCCCUGUGAUCUCCCACUGUGUGGGUUCUGCACAACAGGCUGCAGGACUUCUCCAAACCUCUUGUAGAUCUGCUGCUCCCAAGGUAGCUCCUAUCACUUACACUGACACUGCAAAUUUACCAAACCCAUACAUUUGUUCAUCUUUGUUGUGGAAUUCAGUAGUAUGUGACAAAAAAGACUCAGGGCUGGACAUGUAUAUAGGAAGAAUGAAGAUUGCAGUGCUUUAAAGCUGUUCAAAAGCACUUGCUCAGUCACAAAACAUCUAAGUUUUGUCCAGCAGUGUUUUGUCCUGCUUUCAGAAGUGUAGGGACUUUAAAUUGUAGCUGCUUCCUUGUAAUUAACCAGGCACAAAAGCUGAACCCAAGGAAAUUGUACAGUAAACACUACUGCUUACUGGCACAUGGGAAAGAACAAUGAGGGCUCAGACUCCCAUGCUACAAACUAAGAGCAGCACAAUAUGCUGUGUUUUGGGGUGAUUGCAUUGUACUGGCAUGUGAUUUAGGGAGAAAUAGUUGCUUUUGCCAAUACAGAAACAAAUUUUCUCCUGCCAUUAUGUUAGGGCCCCUUUUCACCUCUCCUGUGCAGAGUGUUUGCUGAAGUCUGUCUGGCCAGUUAAGCAGGAGGUUGGCUGUGCUGCAGCAGACUUGUGGAAAGCAAUUAAAUGAUUUAUUACUUCUAUUGAAAAUGGGUUUUGGAAAGCAAACAUUGUUCAAUGCAAUAUCACCACUAGUGACAGAGAGUAGUUUGCUUCUGUUUUUCCUUUAGGACCUCACGAAACAUGGCAGAAUACCACUGGAGUAACACUUGGUCACACAGGAUAUGUAACCCUCAGAAGAAAAUGUGACUGAGCUAGGAUAAAGGAGUUGCAGUCAACUUUUCAGUAGUAUGAACACCAAAGAGAGUUUGAAUUUGUGACAGAGAAUUUCAAACAUGUGAUUCAUGAAAUAGGGACAGUCUUACAAACCUCCACAAAUCCCUGCCAGGCACAGCAAAAAAAUCCAGGUUACUUGAUUUAACUUCAGGCUGUGAGGUUGUCAAAUUCAUGGUGAAGAAAGAGUCACAGAUUCAAUAAGGGGACAUUCAGCAACAUUACUGUAAUUAUAACAGAGAUUAUAAAGCUAGUGCUAAAAAUCCAGAGUGGGAGCUGAGUAAGGAACACUAGCUCAGGACAUGAGCUAUGUUAAGUGCUCCGUCUGGCAAAGAUCCUGGACAUGCCACUACCAUCAUGAUUUAUGUCAAAUCAUGUACUGAAAGCAUGAGGACGAAGUUUAAUUUGGCUCUUUGGACAGAAAUACACCAACGGUCAGGAACAUGUUGUUCAAACAGGCAAUAUGGACUUCAAUGUGCACUGAAAGCAUCAAGGUGGCCUCUUGACUCAUGCCACUAAAACUCAUGCAUCUGGUUUACACAUGAAAUUUAGUAUGACUCUCCAAGUGGGAGAGUUCUGAGAUCACCACAUUCCCUUCUGGUAUCUAGAAAGAAUCAUAUCAGGUAAUCCCUCAUUAAUUUAUUGAUCUCUACUUUAAACCAAAUAGGUUUUUUGCCUUUGCCAUUUCCUAAAAAAAAAAUCUUACAGGGCCUUACACAUUUUAUGGCUUAAAAAAUAUGUCUUAUUUCAGAUUAAGGAAUAUAAAGCAAAUAGCUCUGUAAAACCUGCUGAUUGUUCCACCCAUUCUUGUAUUGACUUUCUGGAUACAGAUGAUAUGUGCAUAAAAAUAUGCAAAUGGACUCUUUACCUUUCAUCUGAGAAAGCUGUCAGCAUCAGAUCUAUUUGAUUCUCUACAAACAUUCCUUUCUACAGGCACAUAAUAGAAGGACUAUUGUUGUAAGUAGGAAUUAGGAGCACUGUAAUAUAAAACACAUGAAAUAACAGGAUUGGUAUACAAUCAAAUGGAUGUUGUACUUAUAAAUCCAACAUAUAUGUAAA